CAAAGUCUGAGCUGACAGAAAAACUUCGUGAUUUUUGUUUUGUCAGUUAACUAACAAAAUUUAAUUGCUUUCUGAGUUUUCGACUGUUUGCAGAAACCAUAUAAACAGAAGAAAAUACAUCCAGUCACAAGGCUCCUAAUUCCUUCAGUGCAAUUCACACAGGGAGCACAAAGGCACCAAAGGGUGGAGGUUUCCUCAUGCACCAUGUACUUCCCAGAGUUCGGUGUCAGUGAUAAGGGCGAUGAAGAGGCUCAGAAUCAUGAAUGUAAAGAGUGGGACGAAGGUGUAGACAUACAUUCUGCUGAACAUCCACACCAGAUCAUUCUUGUCUCGGAUUUUGGUGAAGGUUGAGUAGAUUUCAUCUCCA